UGCAACUAUUGGUUAUACUAUACUUUGUUCUUGUGACUUUAUUUAUGUUUGUUGACUCAUCUUGGGCGGAGUAUAAGAUUGUUAUAUCACAUAAUAUAAAAGUGCAUUGGAUAUCAGAUCUAUUUGCAUUUUGUUUGUGAUAUAAUAUAUUUUUGUGAAGGCGGUAAAUGUUAUAUACAAUGUUAUAUCUUAUAAUUUAUAUAGACAAGAAGAAUGAAAAGUAAUAAAUUUACCAUAAUGAUUAAUAACGAUUAUAAAUCUAUGAUUCAAUGGCAUCCAGAAAUGAUAUUAAUUUCUAAAAGACCAAUGACAUGGAAAGGAUUUUUAGAAGUUCCAUGCAUCUCAGGACGAAAUAUGCGAAUUAGGCUAAAAUUAAUUGUGCAUAAUUAUCCAUUACUAUCUAAUGCAGAAAUUAAUUUUGGUAAAGAAAUUGCAUUCAUACGAAAUGAAGGAUUUAGUGAUAAAGUGAAAGAUUUAAUGCAUAAUGUCACUAAAGUAUCAACAUUUCUAAAACAAUUACAAUUGCUAAUCAGUAGUUUCAUCAAUUCUAGUCAUGUUAUUGAAAAUUAUGAAUAUGAUGCAGUAGAUGAUCAAGUAGUCGAAAUAUUAGCAGAAUUAAGAAAUUUACUUCAGAUACCCUCUGGAAUUAAAGUAUCAGCUAAUAAUACGAUAAAUGUAAUUGAAUUAUCUUUGAACAAUGUGGCUGUAAGAUUGCAGAGAACAAGCCAUAGAACGUGUCCAUGGACAGUUGUUUAUUCAGAUUUACCUGAAAUACCUUCUCUUGGGCCUUUCGAAAAGAAUCUGUCAACAUUAAAUAUAGCCAAAAAUAAACUUAGAUUACAAGUAGAAAUGCUUGAGAAAUCAUGGUCAAAUUUGAAGCAAAUUGAUCAGAAUUGCUGGGUAAUAGAUCCAUUGCCUCCAAAAUCAAGCCAUCUUUAUCGACGAAUUUAUUUAACACCAUCUUUAUCAAUGUUCAUUAAAAUAGAUCCUUUGAAUCAUAUGGAUUUGCCAGAAAUUAAAUUUAUGGGUAGUGAUACUGAAGUUGAAUCAAUGACAGAACUAGUUUCUAAGAAUUUAUAUAAAUGGAAUCCCAGCUGUGAUAUUAUAAAUAAUUUAAUGAUGUUAUUGGAUAUAGACAUAUUUCCUAAAAAGGAAAUGAAGAAAGAAGCUGUUGAAGAUUACAAUGUUGUUGUUGCUGAUGAAGAAUGUUGUAUUUGUUUUUCCCUAAAAUUAGACAAUGUGACUCUGCCUGAUAAGAUUUGUAAUAAUGAAAAAUGUAGGAAACAUUUCCAUACAUCUUGUUUAUUGCAGUGGUUACAAGCGAUUGCUGGAAAUCAUGUUAUAUUUGAUCAUAUUCAUGGUUCAUGCCCCAACUGCAAAGAGAGCAUAUCAUGUCACAUUAACUGGUAAUACAAUUAAAUUACAAAAACUACAUAACAUAAUGAUUUUUUCUAUGACUCAUGUAUUUUCAUUCAAACACGUGUAUAUGUAUAUAAUUCAUGCAUUUUACCCACUGUACAACAGAUCUAUUAAAAUGACUAGAGCCACAUAUUAAGAUUAAUGUAGUACUAGCUAUUUUAUCUUGAAGUAUUUCAAAGAUUGCUUUCUCAUUUAAUCUUCCAGAUUUUACAUCUAUACCAUGGAGAUUGCAAACAUCUAAAAUAUAAAAUACAAGAAAAUAUUUAUAAUUAUAUAAAAAUAUGGUUUUUAUAGUAGAAAAAACUUAUUUAAAAAAUUACUUACUUUGCAAUUGUGAUAUCUGCAAUGUACACUUGAAAUUCCAAUAAUCUGAUAAGAUAUUGACUAAAUUUUCCAUUUGGAUAAAUUCUAAUUAGGAAUUCAAUAGAGUCAUCUGUGAAAGAAAUUGGUGUGUAUGGUUUGGCAGCAUCAUGUAAAUGUAAUAUAACAUAUUGUCCUGGAUCAAUUAAUAUACUGUGAUCUUUAUAAUUAUUUUCUAUAAAAGAAGUAAAUAAUUAUUAAUACUAUAAACAAUUGCAUAUAAUUUUUAUAAAUAAUAUAUUUAAAAAUAAAAAAUUAUAUACCAUUAUAUUUUAAAACAAGUAAAAUAUAACAUUCAGAUAUUUCCUGUAUACCAGAAACCACAAAAUUUCUGUACGCAUAUAAAUGUAAUACAUUUGAUCUGUUGUUGAUUUUUA